rnacentral:rRNA from 1 species
GAUGAACGCUGGCGGCGUGCCUAAUACAUGCAAGUCGAGCGAACAGACGAGGAGCUUGCUCCUCUGACGUUAGCGGCGGACGGGUGAGUAACACGUGGAUAACCUACCUAUAAGACUGGGAUAACUUCGGGAAACCGGAGCUAAUACCGGAUAAUAUAUUGAACCGCAUGGUUCAAUAGUGAAAGACGGUUUUGCUGUCACUUAUAGAUGGAUCCGCGCCGCAUUAGCUAGUUGGUAAGGUAACGGCUUACCAAGGCGACGAUGCGUAGCCGACCUGAGAGGGUGAUCGGCCACACUGGAACUGAGACACGGUCCAGACUCCUACGGGAGGCAGCAGUAGGGCAUCUUCCGCAAUGGGCGAAAGCCUGACGGAGCAACGCCGCGUGAGUGAUGAAGGUCUUCGGAUCGUAAAACUCUGUUAUUAGGGAAGAACAAAUGUGUAAGUAACUAUGCACGUCUUGACGGUACCUAAUCAGAAAGCCACGGCUAACUACGUG